rnacentral:misc_RNA from 1 species
GAUGAAGAACGCAGCGAAAUGCGAUACGUAAUGUGAAUUGCAGAAUUCAGUGAAUCAUCGAGUCUUUGAACGCACAUUGCGCCCCCUGGUAUUCCGGGGGGCAUGCCUGUCCGAGCGUCAUUGCUGCCCUCAAGCACGGCUUGUGUGUUGGGCCUCCGUCCUCCUCCCGGGGGACGGGCCCGAAAGGCAGCGGCGGCACCUCGUCCGGUCCUCGAGCGUAUGGGGCUUCGUCACCCGCUCUUGUAGGCCCGGCCGGCGCUUGCCGACACAUCAAUCUUUUUUCCAGGUUGACCUCGGAUCAGGUAGGGAUACCCGCUGAACUUAAGCAUAUCAAUAAGCGGAGGA